UACGUAGGGUGCAAGCGUUAUCCGGAAUUAUUGGGCGUAAAGAGCUCGUAGGCGGCCUGUUGCGUCCGCUGUGAAAGCCCGGGGCUUAACCCCGGGUCGGCAGUGGAUACGGGCAGGCUAGAGGUAGGUAGGGGAGAAUGGAAUUCCCGGUGUAGCGGUGAAAUGCGCAGAUAUCGGGAGGAACACCGGUGGCGAAGGCGGUUCUCUGGGCCUUACCUGACGCUGAGGAGCGAAAGCGUGGGGAGCGAACAGG
rnacentral:rRNA from 1 species